AACAAACGCUGGCGGCGUGCCUAAUACAUGCAAGUCGAACGGCAGCACGGGAGCAAUCCUGGUGGCGAGUGGCGAACGGGUGAGUAAUAUAUCGGAACGUGCCCAGUCGUGGGGGAUAACGUAGCGAAAGCUACGCUAAUACCGCAUACGAUCUAUGGAUGAAAGCGGGGGAUCACACGACCUCGCGCGAUUGGAGCGGCCGAUAUCAGAUUAGGUAGUUGGUGAGGUAAAGGCUCACCAAGCCGACGAUCUGUAGCUGGUCUGAGAGGACGACCAGCCACACUGGGACUGAGACACGGCCCAGACUCCUACGGGAGGCAGCAGUGGGGAAUUUUGGACAAUGGGCGCAAGCCUGAUCCAGCAAUGCCGCGUGCAGGAUGAAGGCCUUCGGGUUGUAAACUGCUUUUGUACGGAGCGAAAAGGCUUCCACUAAUACUGGGGGCUCAUGACGGUACCGUAAGAAUAAGCACCGGCUAACUACGUGCCAGCAGCCGCCGUAAGAC
rnacentral:rRNA from 1 species